ACGUAGGGACCAAGCGUUGUUCGGAUUUACUGGGCGUAAAGGGCGCGUAGGCGGCGCGGUAAGUCACUUGUGAAAUCUCUGAGCUUAACUCAGAACGGCCAAGUGAUACUGUAGUGCUAGAGUGUGGAAGGGGCAAUCGGAAUUCUUGGUGUAGCGGUGAAAUGCGUAGAUAUUGGGAGGAACACCGGUGGCGAAGGCGGCUACCUGGACCGGUUCUGACGCUGAUGCGCGAAAGCGUGGGUAGCAAACAGGA
rnacentral:rRNA from 1 species